UCUUCACUUCACUUUGUCCUACAGUGUACACACACUGGUUAGAAACAUACGUACACACACUGGUUAGAAGUGCUCAGCCAUGUGGGUGAAGAUUCAGCCCUCUCUAAAGAUUGGCACCUUCCUCCUCCUCUUCCUCUUCACCUCAGAGGAAGCCUGCGCAGAGUCUGUCAUAAAAAGUGUGCAACUUAUUAUCCAUCCGAGAAAUGAAGUUGAAAGAGGUACAAAUGUGUCGUUGAUAUGUCAGGCAGAAGUCAGCCACGGGCUGGGGUCUCACCCCAACUAUAAAUACAACUUCUACAAAGAUUUUCAACCAUUAUAUACUGACCAGACCAGUUCUACGGACCACCUCUACUCAAUACCAGAUGCCAGAAUGGCCCACUCUGGGAAAUAUAAAUGUGCUGUUGUCAUUGAGGAGCAAAACAAGGAGAGCAAUGUCAAAGACCUGACAGUGAAAGGUCUUCAGACACCAGUCCUAACAAUGGAUAAACUGAAACUGAGAGAGGGAGAUGAUGUUACUGCUAACUGUACAGCAGAGGGAGAAAUAGGUUCUUUGACAUUUUCCUUUAGUAAUGGAUUUGAGGAAAUCUACACGGCGAACACAGAGAGUCACCGAGUUGAGCAGAAGCUACGCCUUACUAAAGGAACUGUCAAAAUAUUUUGCUACUAUUCUAUUAAGUUGCAUAGCACAAUAAAACACUCCGAUAACAGUAAUGUGAUCAGUCUUGACAUUCAAGAGCUGGAGAUCAAUCCCAAUAUCAAAGUCAACCCAUCAGCAUAUGUCACUGAAGGAGAUCUCAUAACCAUCAGCUGCAGUGUUGAUACAACUUACCAAAGAAAUUCUGAUCUCAAAAUCAGUCUCAUCCAUGGACAUACCAUGGUCAGUGUGGACAUGACAAAGACAGAUUACAAAGUAUCUCUUAAGGCUAAUGACUCUGGGGAAUAUGAGUGCAUCUCCAGGCUUGGUGAUGUUUAUAAAUCCUCCGCUAUGAACAUCACUGUAAAAGAGCUUUUCUCCAUGCCUGUACUGAGCUUUCACCCAGCUGAGGUUUUUGAGGGAGAACGCUUCACCAUCAGCUGUCAAAUCAAAAGCUUUGCCUCAGAGAAGAUUCGAAGGGAUGAUAUAAGGUACUCAAUAUUCCAAGACAAAAUACCUGUAAUAAAUGGUAGCAGAUACAGCGGCACUGCAGGCAAAGCGUCCAAUGGGAAAUAUAUAUGUGUUGCUGAAGCCAAAGAGAUUAUCAAAGAGAGCAGGAGGGAGCUGUUUGAAGCAAAAGUUCUUGUUUCAAAGCCUGAGAUCUCAGUUGAUGGUCCUGUUAUCGUGAAUGAGUCAUUUUGGAUUCAUUGCCACUCUGACAAUGGAAGUCUGCCAAUUAUCUACUCACUAAAGAGAAACAACGUUACCCUGAACAGGACUAAGGUGUCUGACAUUCAUGAGAAGGCUCGUUUCUUAGCCAUGAUAUCAACUCCUUCAGACAUCAGCAGUUACAUGUGUGAAGCAGAGAAUAAUGGCCAAGUCUCAAGAAAGAUGAGUGAAAGGCUACAUGUGACUGUAAUAGUUCCAGUAGGGAAGCCCUUACUGAUGGUCAUUCCAGUUCCGGGAAACAUUGAAGAGGGCAGUGAUGUUACCCUGAUAUGUAACAUUCCAAAAGGCUCUCCACCUAUCAGUUUUCGUUUUUAUGGAGGCAGUGGCACAGAAAUCUACAGGACCACAGUUCAAAGUAAUUCAUCCUCAUAUGAUCUGAGUGCAGUAAAGAGACAGCACAGUGGAAAUUAUUAUUGUGAGGCAAAUAACCAGGCAGAUGCUUUGAUAAAGAGUGACACAGUCACAGUCGAAGUGAGCCUGGCAGAAUGGAAAAAGGCUUUGAUUGCAACAUUCUGCAUGCUGUUAGUGGCCCUACUGGUCCUUUUCAUCGUGAUACGCUUCAAGGCCAAGCGAGGUAGAGAGUCCUACAGCCCCCCUGCAUCACCUCUCUGACCUGUGAACCAAAUUCCCUUUUCAACUUUUCUCUCUGUCACAGGUAAAAGAGAGAUGGCUGCCGAACUAUCAAUGCGCAGAGCUACACUUUGAUUCCUUGACGGGGAAGGUGACAUAUGGGACGUGAGAUCACUACAAUUAAUGGGAACAACUAAAGAAUCCUGUGAACAGUGUAGUGAAGGGUCCAAAAUUUUCAGGGAGUUAUGAAAACCAUAAGACGAAGCAGUUUCUAAGAUUAUGAAACUGGAGGCAAAAUUUAUUAAGGCUUUUUAGGACCACCUCAGAUCUUUUUAGUUUUUCAGAUCAUACUUUUUUUUUUUUUUUUUAACAAGGAAAAGGGGUAUUAAACUGUGGAUUGGUAACAUGACUGGGUUUUUGAAAAAUUGUUGGUUUAGAUGCAAUGUGUAAAUGUACAAUUUGUCAGUUUUUGAUGCUGGCAAAUCAACUGCCCCAUCUUCUCUUUAGAACAGCAGAAAAAUAAUAAAGUCACCCAUAUCACAGCAGUUUGGCUCAGUAUUCAUCUUAACAGCAUCUGAAUCAUCUGCUUUCACUGCUUUGCUUGCAUACAGUAUGUGUUUUUGCUUCCAUCAUCAUUUGUUUGUUUAUUAACUGAUGUUGUUUGUUUCAUUUUACUCUAAAAGCAUCUGUGUUAAUGCUUUAUUUACUGUUAAAUAUUCUAUAAAAAUGUGUGUAUGUAUUUGAGACAUGAAACAAGAUUUGGUAGGCAUUUAAAAUUUAAUAAAAUGUUUUAUUUGGAAUUAC